rnacentral:rRNA from 1 species
AGCGAACGCUGGCGGCAGGCUUAACACAUGCAAGUCGAGCGGGCAUCUUCGGAUGUCAGCGGCAGACGGGUGAGUAACACGUGGGAACGUACCCUUCGGUUCGGAACAACUCUGGGAAACUGGAGCUAAUACCGGAUACGCCCUUAUGGGGAAAGGUUUACUGCCGAAGGAUCGGCCCGCGUCUGAUUAGCUAGUUGGUGGGGUAACGGCCUACCAAGGCGACGAUCAGUAGCUGGUCUGAGAGGAUGAUCAGCCACACUGGGACUGAGACACGGCCCAGACUCCUACGGGAGGCAGCAGUGGGGAAUAUUGGACAAUGGGCGCAAGCCUGAUCCAGCCACGCCGCGUGAGUGAUGAAGACCUUAGGGUUGUAAAGCUCUUUUGUCCGGGACGAUAAUGACGGUACCGGAAGAAUAAGCCCCGGCUAACUUCGUG